CCUACGGGAGGCAGCAGUGGGGAAUUUUCCGCAAUGGGCGAAAGCCUGACGGAGCAACGCCGCGUGAGGGAUGAAGGCCUCUGGGCUGUAAACCUCUUUUAUCAAGGAAGAAGAUCUGACGGUACUUGAUGAAUAAGCCACGGCUAAUUCCGUGCCAGCAGCCGCGGUAAUACGGGAGUGGCAAGCGUUAUCCGGAAUUAUUGGGCGUAAAGCGUCCGCAGGCGGUCUUUUAAGUCUGUCGUCAAAGCGUGGAGCUUAACUCCAUUACUGCGAUGGAAACUGGAAGACUAGAGUGUGUAGGGGCAGAGGGAAUUCCCGGUGUAGCGGUGAAAUGCGUAGAUAUCGGGAAGAACACCAGUGGCGAAGGCGCUCUGCUGGGCCAUAACUGACGCUCAUGGACGAAAGCCAGGGGAGCGAAAGGGAUUAGAUACCCCUGUAGUCCUGGCCGUAAACGAUGAACACUAGGUGUCGGGGGAAUCGACCCCCUCGGUGUCGUAGCCAACGCGUUAAGUGUUCCGCCUGGGGAGUACGCACGCAAGUGUGAAACUCAAAUGAAUUGACGG
rnacentral:rRNA from 1 species